GGAGGCGGGCGAGGCACCUCGGCGGGAGCGGCGGCUCCGUGGGGAGCUGCGCUGUGAGGAACCGCCCGAUCUCCAUCCCGGGAGGGCACGGUACGAGGAGCUCCGGGUCCCGGCUCUGAAGCGAGAGCCGUAUUGAGGCAGAGCCUCCUCCGUGGAGACCGUAGCUCCGCUGAAGUGGAGCUCGCAGAAAUCUCUCUUGAAUAAGGAAAGCUGGGGCAGGGUUUAGGAAGCCAUUUCCGCGCCCUUCAGGUCGUCCCGUUGGUGACCGAGCACCUCACGAGUUCUGAGGAGAUUUGGUCAGCGCCAUCGCUGUUAAUAAGUCAGUCCUGACCCGUGUCUGUUCCCAGCUUAACUUUCACAAAUUGCAUGACAGAAUGGACAAAAUAAUGACUGCUCGCAGGAAGGCGAUGCUGCUUUCACUCACAAAGACAACUUUUGGUUGCCUAGCAGAUUUUUUUGUGUGUGUUGGUAGAGCCCCUGUGCUCACUCAGAGGGCUGAGGUCCCGUGUGCUGAUCAAAAUCAGUUCUUAACACUGCUCAAAGUUGGCUCUUAAAGUCUUUGCACAAAUAGCUGCUGUUCUGCUGAGCAAAGCCCAGUUAGUGCCUAACCAAAAGCUAACAGCAUGGCCUGCAUUGCCUCACUGCACUCCCUCUGGACUAGUGGACAUGCACAGCUGUCAGCAAGCUCGUGGCCUGCUAAGGAGUGGAAUUACAGCAAUGUGGUGAAAAGAUUGCUUCAGCAAUCUAAGUUCCAUCAGCUUCAAACACUAUGGGCAGUUCAACUGAGAAGAUGACAUUCUCUGACAUAGAAAUCCCUCCGAGUGUGUCAUUUUCAGUCUGAAAUUAGCUUUCUCUCCGUUACAACCACAACUACACAUAUGAGUAUCCAGUGUCAUAAACAGUCCCACCUGUACAACUUUGGAUUUCUACUACCCCAUAAAUCCCAAGUUCUGGGUAGGAGAGAUUGGCAAAGUGCUUUUGUGACUUCUUCCUUUCGUCCUUCCAACAUCUCUAGUAGUGAAGACAGGAUUUGGAACACCAAGUGGUUAUAAGAGGGAUGAUCAUAGCUCUGAAGGAGCAAAAGGGAGAGACUUGGUAGUGCCAGUGGAAGAUGUGGCCCUGCUUGCAUAUGCCCAGGGAUUUUGGGAAGGAAAUAUGCCAGGCUGAGAACUGGGAGCAAAAGCACCUGACCAAAGCAUUAGAGCUGAAAUCAUUCCAAAUAUUCCCUCCAGGUUUGCCAGUGGAAUUGUGGUAUUAACCAGAACACUUGAUUUUUAAACAAAAGAUGUUGUUUCUUACAACUUAAGUGACUAAAAAGAGGAAAACUGACUGUUCUACUUCAUCAUGUACUGUGUGAAAAGCAUUGCCUGCUGGAUACACAAUGAAAUGUAACACCAGGAGGGAAAAGCAGGGAAGCCAGAUGAUAGCGUGAUGCCACAGCAGCUGUGUCUGUUGGCAUAAGUUCGUUGCUGACUCCUUGUCUCACUAGUUACAGCCCAGAAGAAAAGUGCUGAGAACAGCUGCUGAAAUUCAGCCCAGAGAAGUGCCCUUAAACUGGCUCAGUGGACAACUCAAGUGCCUCCCCACCUUGCCUGCAGGACCAGGCACUGAGCCGGCUCUGGCAGCUGCCUCGGGGUAAACAAGGAGUGAAAGGGAACCUGCAGCCCUGAAGUAGAAAUGAAAGGAGACAGUGAGUCCGUUGAGGUAUACAACACUACUCAUUUUCUCCCAUGAGGCUUUACUAUAAAGCAAGAAGAUUUGCUAGGACUGCUAUCAGCACUUUAAAAAUCAGCUUCAUCUUUGGAGUUAACUGACUUUACUGCUUGCUUCAGGCUCUCACUUAAUCAAAACAUGUACAGCAAGAGCUCUUAUCUCUCUUUUUGCUAACCACAAAAUACUGUACAGUGUCAGUUUAGCAUCUUCAGCCCAAAACAUGCUGGUGUAUGGCAGCAAUAUGCAUUUGCUAAUCACUACUUACGCCUGGUAACAAUGACUUCAGACACCCCAGUAGGACAAAAAGUACAAUACUGACAAAAACAUGCUUUAAGAAAUUUGCGUUUUCCUUCCGCAAAUAAGAGUCCGUCUAUGAGUGAGGGCUGCUGUGACGUUUUGAGUCCAUGUUUGUGUGUGUUUUAAAUGUCCUCAAUUGUGCAUCACAUUCUGUACGAGAUGAUUCACUCUUUCCAACCACUUCACUGUUGCACAUAUGGAAUCUGUUUUAUACUGUCAGCCAGUACUGUACAAUGUUUCUUCCCCUUGUGUAUAUAAGCCAUGCUGAGGCUUUCAGUCAGUCCUAUAAUGUGUAUAUUUCUGCACUGUCCUUCACAGGAGGCAGAAGGGAAAGAUGUAGGAUUUGGAUAUUUUAUUCUGUAAAACCAAAAUGUAAUCUAAGAAUAUAUUAAAAUUUAUUGUAAUAGCCACUGCAAGAACACAGAAGAUUACCUGAUGCUAUGUUAACUUGCACAGUAUAGGGUGCUUAGCUUGUGAUCCUAAAAUCUCUUUGUUCCUGAGAUUUUAAGGUUUUUUAGUCUUAAAAAGAUUAUAUUGGUGCUUUUUAUCCCCUGAAACUUUUGACUGUCACAUUUGCAGAAGAUAAAAGCUUUUCCUGUGAUGCAAGGCCUUCUCAUCUGACUUACCCUUUCAGUGUUUAGCAACUGGGAUUAAAGCUUUAGCUUGCAGCAAAACAAAAGUUCUAAAGUAAGCAACUGUCAAUAAGUGUUGUCUGUUGUUCUAGAAUAUUCACAAUCACUUACAGAUUGCUGCGGCUGAUUGGCAGUACUCAGUGACUGCUUCAAGAGGUUGGAACUGGCAUCAGAACUUGUGGACAUGUCACAGGGGAGGAGCAGGGGCCUUGGGGAUAUGCAUCUUUUCAUUUGAUCUGCCAUCUAACCCAGAACUACAGCAAGCUCUCAUCCUUAUUCAAAAUGUUGGUUGUUACUCUUUGGUCUAUUUCUUUUUUUCUACUCUGUAAGUGAUAGAAGCAUCCAUUUCCAGAUUAUUUUCCAGUUUUCCUGUGGCUGUCCAUUGCAGUCUCCUUCUCUUUCCUUUUGUUUGGCACAAACUGUGUUGUAAGUUAGUGCACAGAAUAAUAAACUAAAUCUCAAAAUAUUGAAUCACUUGUGUUGUGAAACCAUAGAUUCUAAAUGUGGGCACUGAGUGAACUCAUUGAAGUGCUGGUGCUGGAGAGCCGUUCCCUCACCCUCCUCCUUCAUGUGCACCUAAAACCAGCCUGACAGGUGAGAAACAGGCUUUCUGGUGUGGGUUAUUUUAUGCCUGCUUUGAUAAUGCCUGCAGCUCUGCCAGGUGCAAGGUGUGGCCGCAUGGGAGCUGAGCUGCCUUGUGCUGAGUUGUUUAUCUUUGCUGGGAAACCUGCCUUUACCAACUGGUGGUAGGGAACUCUGCGCUUAAACAUCAUGCUCAAAGAAGACCACCUAUGGUGAAGGAAGCCCCAUCUGCCCCUGUAUUAUUCUAUACUGAAUAAUUAAAUCCAUAAUGAAGAAAGAAGAGCUUGUGCCAUUGGAAUGCUGUGUUUUUAUUUUCUCCUAAUGGCUAACUGUAAAGAUCAUAGACUCCUUUAGAAUCUGGAUCCCUCUCCACCCUUCCAAAGACAGAGUUGCUGCUUUGUAAACUUACUGUAUUACUGUUUUC